UUUUAAUUGGUUGUACGUUUUUUUUUUCUUGUUUUUGCCAUACUCCUUAAUCACUAAUCUUUCGUCUCAGAAUUAUCGUUAUGACUUAGGUCUUACUUUUUUUUUUCUAUUGAAUUCAUUUUUCCACUUCUUCGCUUCACUUCUGUAACCUCACUCAUAUUUUAUUUCAAGCACAUUAUGUAUAUCUCUAAAUUACCCUAUAUCUACAUACAUAUAAUGUACAGUCAGUCCUCGCGAAAAAAUCGUCAAAUAACGAACGAAUGAGUAAUACCUAAUGAUAAUAAUAAUAAUAAUUGAUCGAUGUAAAUGCUAUGUAAAUAAUGAUACUUUAACUCCUUGUACGGUGCAAGAUUUUACGAAACUUAGUUGUGAUAACUAGGAAUGUAAAAAAUUUAUCCUGAUGCAAUAAGUUCAUGAAAAAAAAUCGUCGAAUAAAUCAUAGCGUCAACUCUCUGCGAUACCAGAUCGUCUGACGAUAAAUUUUUCAGGUUUUUCAAUAUAGUCCUGUGAAAAAUGUCUGUUCCCGAUAUCACUACAACGCAAUUUCAACACACAUUAUAAUAAUGUGUGAAAUAUUUACUCGGGAGCAUUAAGCGACUAAUUGCGUAAAAUCUUGGGUUACCUAAUUAAUUUUACUAACUUCGUAUGAUAUGUUGAAUGGACUACGAGUGUACACAACAAAGAGCUAUUAGUACACGCCUAUAUGAUAGAUAUAGCGUACCCUAGUUUCCCAAAAAAAAGAGAAAGAAAGAAGAAAAACGAAAAAAAAAAAAAAUACAAAUCACAUUUAGAACAAAUUAUUGCAAAAAAUGUUGAAAAAAAAAGAAAAAAAAAAUAUUUAAAAGGAAAAAAAAAGAAAAAAAAAUGCCAAAAAUAUAAUUUUUUAUUUUUCAUACCCGUAGACAUACGAAUAUAUUUUUGACGCUGGUGAAGAGAUUCUUCGAGAAAUGCAAUCGUCGCAAUAUAAAUAAAUAUACAUAAUAACAUACAUGUAUGUAUAUGUGCAACGUGUGAAACUUUCGACCACUGCAUUUCUGGGCGAAGGCAUAAUUAGUAUUAGACGAUGUUUUGUACUGGGGCUGCUUUGCUGAAGACCUUUGUUAGCGAACGAGGCCUAAAGGUGGAUCGAAGUUAUGUUCGAGUUGCGUGUAGAAAUUUAUAACAAUGCCAAAUGUCGCGAAAGAGUGAAAAUAAUUUGAAGGAAAAAAAAAAAAAAAAACACAAAUUUCAUUUUUAAUGUUCAAUUUGUAUCUGCAAAUGGGAUACAUAAAUACACAGAUGAUAUAUCGUCGGAUAUUUUUUUUCUUUUUUUUCAAGGCUAGAACAUUCUUCACGCAGCUUUUCAUGUGUGUAGUAAAAAAAAUUCGAUUGUGUUUAAAAAGUGCAGAAGAGCAUCAAUACAUAGAGGUAUUUUUCAAGGCGCAACUUAGCGUAGUGAAACACAAAUGUUGAGACUGGAUUGUGAACGUACAAACUUUAUUGUAAACCUAAUAAUAAUAAAUUCAAGAUUUAUUGAAUUAAAUACCGAAAAUUUGAAUGUUGGUUUUUUUUUUUUUUUUCUCCCGUUUCUUAACAUAGCUCCGAAGCUCUUCGAGUAUAUAUAGCUUUGGCUCUUCGACGAAUAAUUGAUAAAAAUGGUUUGCCCUUCCCCUUCCCCUUCGCUCCCUCUUCCCUCACCUCUUUUCAAAAUCCGAUGAACCUGAAUGACGGAGAAAAAAUGAUUUAAAAAAAAAUGGUAUCUCCGGAAGGAAGGUUUGGUAAAAGAAUUUUUCAUUCACGUGUAAGGCCCUCCACCUCCUGCCCUCGGUUUCUUUCAUGCAUCAUAAAUAAUUACUCAUUUAUGUACCAUGUAUAUGUAUGUACAAUAUAUGUAACGUUUUUAUUUUAUAUAAGAAAAGUAGAAUCGCGCCGGCCCAAGAGAAAAAAAAAAAAAAAAAGUUGUGUAUAAUAGUCGACGAAAAUUUGCAAAAGGAUUUUAUUAUAAGUCUGGUAAUGAUUAAUUGCCGGGAUGAAAAAUUGAUCCAAGUUAUGGGACGGCGCUUGACGGAGCGAGCAUAUAUUAAUGUGCUGUGCAAAUUUGAUAAUGGAAAGUGAGACGUAUCUUUGAUGCCCGUUGUAAUAAAACUAUCUUGCACCGUCUCAUCGCUUGGUUCAGAUUAAACAGUAAUGUGUAAUUAUACCGGUGUGACAGGGCGACUUUUUUCAUGAAAAUAUUGAAAUUAAAAAACGGUAGCGCCGUUUAAGUUGCAAAUAUUGUCGGGCCCUUGAAAAUUGGAAAACAAAAAAAAAAAAACAGAAAAUUAACAAUCUCAUGUACAUAAAGACGAAUCAUUAUAACCGCAAAUAAGAAAUGUAAUAAAUCUACGAUAAUAAUGAUACUAUUAAUAUGAAUAUUUUUAAUUCGUUGCGCUUUGAUUUAUAGAUUUAUCUUUAUUUGCGAGUUUAUAUGUAGAGUUUCCACUUUAAUAACACGAGCAGAAUAUUGCGUAUGUCUAACAUCAAGUUUUAUCAUGAAACAAUUUGUAAUCGAUUUUAAAAUCGAAUAUAUCCACUAGAAUUGAAUCGGAAACAUUUUUCAACAAGAACGAGAAAAAAACUUUCUGUAUCGCUUGUUUCGCGUUACUUUUGCUGCGAGAACUCAAGUCUCGCAAUAAUUUUCAUACUUGUGAUUUCGUCGCAACAAAAGAUCGCAAUUUCUGCACAUAAAUGAGCGUGAAAUAAAAUUAUCAUUAUUUCAUCCAACAAUGUAAUUGUUGAACGUACAUCGGAAACUUGCUAUAGUAUUGUAACUAUACAGAAACGCCUUAUGUCAAAAAAAAAAAAAAAAAAAAAAUCGGCGAAUUACAUAUGUAUCGUAUAUGUAUGUAUACUUAGUCUACACUUCAGAUCUAAAACGUUAUACAUUUCAGAGUACAUGUACAUAUACAUGUCAAAGGUUUACUAAGUGCAAGAACAUAAAAAAAUCGAUGAAAAUAGGCGGGGAUAACGAAAUGAAAAGAAAAAAAAGCAAAAAAAUUAAAAAAAACAAAAAAAUUAUAAAACCAAACAAUUAUUAAGAUAAUAGAGAAGAGAUGUGUCUCGAUGGACAAUGUUUGAUAACUACUAUAGACAGAUGACCGCAGUCUUAUAAUGUCCGAUAUCUAUGAUUAAAUAGCUCGAAAAUUAUGCGUAAAAUUGAAAAAAAAAAUCUAAAGUUAAAAGAAGAUCACUUGUCCGUACACAAUGCAGAAUAACGGUAACGACGGAAAAAAUAAAAAUUGUAGUGAUUAAAAGAGUGCUAUAUACAUUAUAUUUAACCGUAGAUAAAACUCAGCAAAGAAUAUUAUACUUUACAUAUACACGAAAGGGUGAGAAAGUUUUUGUAUUGCAUUGUAUUGUAUUGUAUUGUAUUUGUCGCAGAUGAGAGGGAGUGAAUACGGAGGAAUAUAAUAAGUAUAAAAUCGUCCUUUGAUUGGUAAUGCAAAUAAUAACAAAGAAGCAAGCAUUUUGUAAUUUACAAAUUUAUCGUAGACUCUUAGGUGAAACUUACUUGUAUUAGGAAACAGAAUGCUUGACGAUUUUGUAUUUAUAUUGUAUUUGUACUGCAUUGCAUUGCAUUGUAUUGUAUUGUAUUGUAUUGCAUUGUAUUGAAUGCCUAUAUUAUUGCUUUGUUUCAAAGCAAAGUCGAAAACGAAGUCAUAAUUGCGCUUUCGAAUUAUCGAACGUACACGUGAGUCACGUAAAAGCAGUGGAAAUGUGAAAGAUACAAAGAAUGGUGAAAAAAACCCGAGCAUUUUAUAGAUACCUCUGGUGGUGCACCUAAUCUAACCAUUAUUAAUCGUACUUUAAUUAAUAUGCAUUAUUAAUGGGGAUCAGCAUCGAAAAUAAAAUGCAGAAAAAUAAUUGAAAAAAAUACAUAACCGAGAGUUUUAUUUCGACAAUCCUUCCGCCGUUAAUUCGAUCGCCUUUUUUUCAUUUAAAAAAAUUAUUACGAAAUAAUUGCCUCCGUACGUGCCUCACACAUUGUCAGUAAAUCUAUGUCACGCACGCGUCGCAAAAGUUUUAUGUACGUGUAUUUCGACGAUUUAUGAUAUCUUUAUAAUAUAACGAUUUAUGUUUAUCUUGGAUAAUCCUUUGAGAAUUACGAGGAAUUUUCUCGUCACGUCUGCAACAUUAUAGUUCUACAUGAUGGAAAAGCACACGCGAUUAUAGAGCUUACAAUAUAGAAGCUACACGACUUCAUCGCGAAAAAUUUGACGAAUGAACAUGAAUUUCCAGAGCAUGAGGCAUUCAAUUUAUCGUUCAUAUGUGUAACAAAACAUGAUGCAUGUCGUGUGGAAUGUUCUCGGCGUCUCGUGAAGCUUGUUAUUUUGAAAUUUUCGCAAAGUAUUUCAUAGUUUCGACCUUGUGAGAAUUUGCGGAAUAACACCACGUUUUUAUCACGAAUGAAAAAGGCCUGUAAAGAAGUCGUGACGUCUGCAUUAUUAGAGUAAAUGAAGCCGUCACUUCGUUUAUCGCAGUUGUCGGCUAAUAAAUGUUGAUCAAUAAUCAAUACGAACUGUGUAUUGUAUCAGAAUUGCCUGUACCGAGAAUAUGAUAUUUCAGUGCAAUUUGUUGUCCCUCGUGCAGGAUUAUACCUGUAAGCGCGAGUAACUGCGAAUCGAAUCGAAUCGGCUUGGGUAACGUUCCGUGUCGCAGACUCCUUUUACGACGAAGGUUUACAGAUUCGGAGUAUGUCUGCUGGGAAGACAGAAUCAAGGGCGGAUUCUGGAUCAACGCGGUCGGCUCUGAGUCCGCAAGCAAAAAAGAAGGAGCGACCACCCUUCAAGUUGUGUUUCGUGAAGCAACAGGAGAGCGGUCGAUCAAAUGUCUCUAUUUGCAAGACAACCGGUAAAGGAAAACGAGUCGAUUUUAUUUAUAACAGCGCGUAAAAACCGCCCAAUUCUUUAUAGUUUUCACGCGCGUGAAUGGAAACUCGCGUUUGAAUUAUUUGCUAUAAAAUUCACAAUGUAUGAGAUAUACUGAACAAAAGUUGGGGUAUAAAUCAACUUCCUGAUUUCAUAAAACUCAUUUUAGUUCGUACAGCAACAGCGAAUGCUGAUAGUCGUUAUAAUAGAAACGAGCAAUGCCCUGUUUUUUAUUCCUUUCUUUUUUGUUGUCAUGACUCGGUGCAGAGUUUCAACAUGAGAAGUCUGUAUGACUAAUUCUUCCUCAAACUCUGUAUAAGAAGAAAAAAGACUUUCUUUGUUCUUUGCGAAACACAUUCGAUGGACGAUCAAAUUAGUAACUUGUUAAUAUUUGAUUAAUCUCGCUGAAUAUCGAAAAUUUUUACAUUUACAUUUCUGAUUAUUGUCAAUUACUGAUGAUCAGUUAACUGAAUUGAAUUUCAGAAAUUUCAGACAUUCUUACCGCUAACUUUUUUCUGGUACUCUUAAAUUUUGUCCGUUUCUAUCGCCGGUUACAUUUAAACCAACGAUAAGUUGCAGAUUUAUGCUCGAUAUUCUGGUUGUUUGGUAGUCUGUUCUUAUUCCAGCCAACGUAUUAACUCCGAAAUUUUACUCUCGCGAUGCGGAGCCAUGCGAUUCUCCUGAAAUCAGUCAAACAGUGGCCAAAAUCACCGAGGAAGAGCAAAGAGUCCCCAAGACGGUCCACCGUUGGCCCCUUCUUACCAGCCAUACGUAUGGCUGGUGGCACGAUAGGGGAAUUCAACCGACAGACCCACGCUUCAACUUUCAUAAGAAGACAUCAGACAUGGUCAGCUACCAAAUGAGGAUCUACGCCGUUGACAGGAAGUUGAAGGGUCUCGGUUAUUAACCUACGCGAAAGAGUCGGAGCCCCUAUUGUGGGAAAACCUAACAUUGUAUAAUAUGAUAGUGCGGUUAGAUUUCUAAAAAAGUCUGCAUACUGUAAAAUUUCAAUUUUCCCGUACUGACAAGUAUGCUUAUAGUUUGCACGACAAAAAUGACAUACCUAGAACUGCAAAUAGAUCGGUCGUAGUGUUUUCACGUAAUAUCUGAUUUUCGGCAAGGCUAAUCCGCAACUCAACGUUAAUUGCGUCUUGAUUAUUAAGUCAAUUGGCAUCCUUUGACUGGACGUAAACUACGUUCUAACCGAGGGUACGAUCAUUUACUUUGGAAUAGAUUUCAUUUAUAAGCAUAUUGGCCACAGGCGCGAUUAAAUUUGUUCAAUGUGUACAAAGUGCGAUACGUAGUCCAGAAUUCAUCUGAUAACGUAUGCUUCGUCUCCAAUGUUUGAGAAAAACUUCAAUUCUAUAGUGGAUGGAAGUUAUAAUAUAUCUUGCGAGUAGUUUAUU
rnacentral:misc_RNA from 1 species